AUGAAGGUAGAGUGGGGGUUGAGGCUAGUGGGAUGAAGGUAAGAGUGAGGGCUGAGGCUAGUGGGAUGAAGGUAAGAGUGAGGGCUGAGGCUAGUGGGAUGAAGGUAAGAGUGAGGGCUGAGGCUAGUGGGAUGAAGGUAAGAGUGAGGGCUGAGGCUAGUGGGAUGAAGGUAAGAGUGAGGGCUGAGGCUAGUGGGAUGAAGGUAAGAGUGAGGGCUGAGGCUAGUGGGAUGAAGGUAAGAGUGAGGGCUGAGGCUAGUGGGAUGAAGGUAAGAGUGAGGGCUGAGGCUAGUGGGAUGAAGGUAAGAGUGAGGGCUGAGGCUAGUGGGAUGAAGGUAAGAGUGAGGGCUGAGGCUAGUGGGAUGAAGGUAAGAGUGAGGGCUGAGGCUAGUGGGAUGAAGGUAAGAGUGAGGGCUGAGGCUAGUGGGAUGAAGGUAAGAGUGAGGGCUGAGGCUAGUGGGAUGAAGGUAAGAGUGAGGGCUGAGGCUAGUGGGAUGAAGGUAAGAGUGAGGGCUGAGGCUAGUGGGAUGAAGGUAAGAGUGAGGGCUGAGGCUAGUGGGAUGAAGGUAAGAGUGAGGGCUGAGGCUAGUGGGAUGAAGGUAAGAGUGAGGGCUGAGGCUAGUGGGAUGAAGGUAAGAGUGAGGGUUGAGGCUAGUGGGAUGAAGGUAAGAGUGAGGGUUGAGGCUAGUGGGAUGAAGGUAAGAGUGAGGGCUGAGAUGAGCGCUCAACCAAACUGAUUAAUUUUUGUCCUGUUAUGAUUCAUAAACAUCCAUCUCUCUCUC